AGCAGCCGCGGUAAUUCCAGCUCCAAUAGCGUAUAUUAAAGUUGUUGCAGUUAAAAAGCUCGUAGUUGAAUUUCGGGGUUAGUAGGUUGGUCAUGCCUCUGGUAUGUACUGGUCUCACUGAUUCCUCCUUCCUGAUGAGCCGUAAUGCCAUUAAUUUGGUGUUGCGGGGAAUUUGGACUGUUACUUUGAAAAAAUUAGAGUGUUUAAAGCAGGCUCACGCUUGAAUACAUUAGCAUGGAAUAAUGAAAUAGGACGUUUGAUCCUAUUUUGUUGGCUUCUAGGAUUGACGUAAUGAUUAAUAGGGAUAGUUGGGGGCAUUAGUAUUCAAUUGUCAGAGGUGAAAUUCUUGGAUUUAUUGAAGACUAGCUACUGCGAAAGCAUUUGCCAAGGAUGUUUUCAUUAAUCAAGAACGAAAGUUAGGGGAUCGAAGACGAUCAGAUACCGUCGUAGUCUUAACCAUAAACUAUGCCGACUAGGGAUCGGAUGAUGUUAAUCUUUUAAUGACUCUA
rnacentral:rRNA from 1 species